rnacentral:ncRNA from 1 species
AAAAGACUUAGUCCUAACCUUACUAUUGAUUUUUGCUAGAUAUAUACAUGCAAGUAUCCGCAUUCCAGUGAAAAUGCCCUUACAGCUUUAAACAAGCAAAAGGAGCAGGUAUCAGGCCCACCCAAGCGUAGCCCAAGACACCUUGCCAAAGCCACACCCCCACGGGCACUCAGCAGUAAUUAACCUUAAGCAAUAAGUGUAAACUUGACUUAGCCAUAGCAAUCUUAGGGUUGGUAAAUCUUGUGCCAGCCACCGCGGUCAUACAAGAAACCCAAAUCAAUAGUCACCCGGCGUAAAGAGUGGCUAUAUGUUAUCUCCAACAACUAAGAUCAAAAUGCAACUGAGCUGUCAUAAGCCCAUGAUCCAUUUAAGCCCUCAACCAUCUUAGCUACAUGACCAAUUUAAACCCACGAAAGCCAGGGUACAAACUGGGAUUAGAUACCCCACUAUGCCUGGCCCUUAAUCUAGAUACCUACAUACCCUUGUAUCCGCCCGAGAACUACGAGCACAAACGCUUAAAACUCUAAGGACUUGGCGGUGCCCUAAACCCACCUAGAGGAGCCUGUUCUAUAAUCGAUAAUCCACGAUCCACCCAACCACCCCUUGCCCAAACAGCCUACAUACCGCCGUCGCCAGCCCACCUAAUGAAAGACUAAAAGUGAGCCCAAUAGUUUCCCCCACUAACAAGACAGGUCAAGGUAUAGCCCACGGGGUGGAAGAAAUGGGCUACAUUUUCUAGUGUAGAAUACAACGAAAAAGGACAUGAAACCAGUCCUUGGAAGGAGGAUUUAGCAGUAAAAUAGGACCAUUUUUUCAAGCCUAUUUUAAGACGGCCCUGGGGCACGUACAUACCGCCCGUCACCCUCUUCACAGGCCACAACCACUAAUAAAUAAUACUCCCCCUAAAGCCAAAGACGAGGUAAGUCGUAACAAGGUAAGCGUACCGGAAGGUGCGCUUAGACUA